CUGGCUUGAAAAAACAGAAAUCAUCACUCAAGAUAAUAUGAAAAUAUUCCAAAGAGAUUUUUCAACUUUGUAAAAUGCCAAGGUGAGGAUCUGAGAAUAGUCCAGAACUAUUUACUGAAGAAUUCAUGGCCAACUCUUGGAAUCCAGUAACAUAAUUUAGCCCUGCCCUAUCCAAUAUCGUAGCCACCAGUCAUAUGUGGGGAUUGCACCCUUGAAAUGUGUUGAGUGUGAAUAGGGAUGUACUGUAAAUGUAAAAUACACACUGGACACUGAAGACUCAGUAUGGAAAAACAUGUAAAAUAUCUCUUCAAUAAUUACUUAUACUUACUACAUGUUGUAAUGAUAAUAUUUUGAGUAUAUUAGAUUAAAAUGUUAUUAAAAUUAAUUUCAUCUCAUUCACUUUACUUCUUUAUGAGGCUAUUUGGGAACUACUUGAAAAGAAAACUGGCCAAGAUAAAUGGA
rnacentral:lncRNA from 1 species